rnacentral:rRNA from 1 species
UACGGAGGGGGCUAGCGUUAUUCGGAAUUAUUGGGCGUAAAGGGCGCGUAGGCGGCCCGGUAAGUCAAAGGUGAAAGCCCUGGGCUCAACCUGGGAAUUGCAUUGGAUACUGGCAGGCUAGAGUGCGGUAGAGGAUGGCGGAAUUCCCGGUGUAGCAGUGAAAUGCGUAGAGAUCGGGAGGAACAUCUGUGGCGAAGGCGGCCAUCUGGACCAGCACUGACACUGAGGCACGAAAGCGUGGGGAGCAAACAGG